rnacentral:lncRNA from 11 species
AGCUUGUUGGCGCUGCCACAAUUUCCCCAGGUCUGUCCGAACCUGCCAGUAAGCCCCUAUAUCCAAUUCCAACUCUCCCAAAAACAUAUGGACAGCCUUACUGGCACGGUAAACCUAGCUGUCCAUGCUUAAAAAGAUCCGACAACGUCAUUUCCUCAAUUAGCAUAUGUAACAAUCUUUCUAACUGGUAUUUUCUGACAGUGGUUUGAGUAAGUCCGACAACCGUUACGAGUUGUGUCGGCCCAAUUGCUACCCUGCGCAGAAUGGUUGACAAUCCGACGAAGUGUCAAACUUCGGCACUUCGUCAUCGUUCUUAUUGGAUCGAGUGGUGGUAAUAUAAGACGAAUCAAGGGGAUUCGUCCUUCUUUGCCGUUUGACUUUUGAAGAAAAUAGUAGUGCGCGCCCGUAAAGUGUCCUAGCUAAAAAAAUUUGCCCUAAAUUACGAUUAGUAUCGAAUGUUAGUAGUUCAAAUUAGUGGUAUAAAAGUGUUAGUACGUUGUGAACAAGCAGUUAAACACGAAAACGAACAUCUAUAACAAUUACCAACUUAUAACAAAGAAAAGGUCCGAAAUCGGGCCUUUUCUUUUUGCGUUUCCUCGCGUGGUUUAUCCCGGAGGAACUUCUUUCAUCCGCAGUGAAGCCAAAGGACCAGUUUGGAGUGUAGGAAAGUUGGUUGGUGUGCCGAUAACCAGCUUAGUUCCGCCCGCCAUCUUGGAGCGUCCGUUCCAACAAUAGCAUCGACGCCAUUUUGAAAUUUCGGCCAUUGCAACAUCUUUACGGCUUCCUUCCCGCUUUCAACGUUCGGUCAGUCGGAUUAAGACCAAACCCGACAAGGAACCCGAACGAAAGAAGCCCAGCUGGUGGGCCACAGUCCGUCCAGCAACCCUACAUUGCCACAAUCCGUCCAACAACCCUACAUUUCCACACCAGCAAGAAACAGAUUCGAAAGAAGCCCAGCUGGUGGGCCCUAGUCCAUUCAGCAAUCACGGAAUCCAGUCGAUGAAGGCCAUGCUGGUGGGCCAUAGUCCGUUCAGCAGCCAUCUCUGGGAAAUAGCUUAACGCCCUCGGUCGAGGACCGAAUACCGACCCUCUUUCGCCCGUUUUCUCGCCAACAACCCGCCCAAUUCGCCGACAUCCAGCCAAGCUAGCCACUGUUCAUCACCAUCAAGCCUCGCCAACAACCCACCAAAAGCGCAAGUACCAUGUAACCGUCUCUCCACCAUACCAAUA